rnacentral:rRNA from 1 species
AUUGAACGCUGGCGGCAGGCUUAACACAUGCAAGUCGAGCGGAGAUGAGGUGCUUGCACCUUAUCUUAGCGGCGGACGGGUGAGUAAUGCUUAGGAAUCUGCCUAUUAGUGGGGGACAACAUUCCGAAAGGAAUGCUAAUACCGCAUACGUCCUACGGGAGAAAGCAGGGGAUCUUCGGACCUUGCGCUAAUAGAUGAGCCUAAGUCGGAUUGGCUAGUUGGUGGGGUAAAGGCCUACCAAGGCGACGAUCUGUAGCGGGUCUGAGAGGAUGAGCCGCCACACUGGGACUGGAACACGGCCCAGACUCCUACGGGAGGCAGCAGUGGGGAAUAUUGGACAAUGGGGGGAACCCUGAUCCAGCCAUGCCGCGUGUGUGAAGAAGGCCUUAUGGUUGUAAAGCACUUUAAGCGAGGAGGAGGCUACUGAGACUAAUACUCUUGGAUAGUGGACGUUACUCGCAGAAUAAGCACCGGCUAACUCUGUGCCAGCCGCCGCAGUAAAAC